GUAUAUGUGUGUGUGCAUGUGUAUGUGUGUGUAUGAACACAUACUGUAUACACAUCCACACGCAUCUGUGCACACAUACACUCACACAAU
rnacentral:miRNA from 1 species